rnacentral:piRNA from 1 species
UGUGGUGAGUCAGGAUAUCAUGGCAGU